AAAUAGAUAAGAUAUGAUAAAAUAGAAAUGAACAACCAGAUAAGAUAUGAUAAAAUAGAUUUCCCUCGAUUGUGUAAAUUCCCAAUGAACAAAGAAAACGAUGAUUCAUGAUUACCAUUGAUCCCACCUGCCUCUGAGCCCCCCUCAUAAACCACAGACACACACACACGCUCAUAAAACCCUUCUGAUCUGAUCAAACGAUACAGUAUAUCUUCAUAUUCGGCUAGACCCCGGCUGUGUCCCAAAUGGCACCCUCUUCCCUAUGUAGUGCAAUAUUUUUGACUAGGGCCCAUAGGGAAAUAGGGUGCCAUUUGUGACGUAGAAUACACCCUGUGGAUAAACCUCUCACUCAGUACACUACACUACUGGAACAGAAGCCAGCUACCGUAGCUCCUGGGCUCGCUUGCUAACCAAAUGACAGGCCUAUUUUUAUGGGCCUCGUAGACGUCAAGAGGCUCCCCCCCCGCCAUAACUCUCCUAUGGAAGAGAGAAGGGAUGGUUUGUCUCGGCUCCCAGGUGCACUUGGAGCGUUCAGCCUGUGUUCUGCAGGUAGAGAAAUGAAUGACUAUGGUUUACACCCGUAAGGGGGAGAGGGAGCGCACCUGCCUUGUUUUUAGAGGGUUGAUGAUCACCUUGCUUUCAUCUGUAGAGGGAGGGAAGGAGGGAGGGAAGGUAAGAAGAUACGUGUCAAAGGUCAAUACCUGUGUGGAUAGGGAGCACCAGAGGGGGUAUCACACACUCACUUUAGCAGGACACACAUCUACAUACAUGUUACAUGCUGAGGUAAUAAGGACACACAUCUACAUACAUGUUACAUGAUGAGGUUAUAAGGACACAUCUACAUACAUGUUACAUGAUGAGGUAAUAAGGACACACAUCUACAUACAUGUUACAUGAUGAGGUAAUAAGGACACACAUCUACAUACAUGUUACAUGCUGAGGUAAUAAGGACA